rnacentral:lncRNA from 1 species
UUCUUCUCCUUUUUUUCCGAAGUCUUUCAUCGCUAGAAGUCUUAUCUUCUUUCUUUUAAUAUUUGUAUUCCUUUUUAAAUUAGAGUUUGUCCUCUAAACAAAUCUUCAAGGCUUCUUUUUCUACUAUUUUGUUUAGCCUAUCUUAAUCUUUGAAAUACUUCGUCAAGAUAGCUGAAAUCUUGCCUUUUUUCAAAUGUUUGAGAAAGAUUUGCUUCUUGAUUUUUUCCAUAAUAAAGAAUUUUGUAAGUUGAUUUUUCUUUUCCUCAAGAUCUUUCAGAGAAACAAUCAUGUCAAUGAUGAAUUGUUCUUUGGUGGAUAUACCAAGAUUCCAUUAUCACUUGUUUAAUUUUUGCUAGAGCACUUACCACAGCAUGAGCAUAUCUUUAUUAUAUUUGAUUCAUCCUCUAUGUCUAAUUUUAGACUCCUAAUGACAUCCUCAAAUUUUCCUAUCAUCUCCUAUUUCUUGGAUUUUCUUUCUAAUAUUCCUUCGACACAAUUUAUUACCAUGAUAUCCUUUUUGUGUAUAUUUAAAGCUAGUUGGAGGUUUUGCCCUCUUCUUGCCUCUAUUUAAACUCUUCUUUUUUUAUUUGUUUAGGGUUUUUUACAAUCCUUUUUAUUUCAAUUUUUUUAGAUUUUUUGUAGUAAAGCUUAUCUAGUUGAAAUCCAAAUUGAUAACAAAAAAAAUUUCUUAAUUCAUUCCCAGCAUUUUUUUCUUCUUUAAUUGAUCUUUAACUUUUAGAUCAUUAUACGAUUUAACUCCAACUCUCUGUAUCUUUUGUACUAUUCUUUCCAUGUUGUUGC